AGUUCACAGACACAGGACCUUGUCUCAAUAUAUGAAUUUCAGGAUUUGAGCUUAGAGUGAAACUGGGAAAUA
rnacentral:snoRNA from 1 species